rnacentral:rRNA from 1 species
AUUGAACGCUGGCGGCAUGCUUUACACAUGCAAGUCGAACGGUAACAGGCCGCAAGGUGCCGACGAGUGGCGAACGGGUGAGUAAUGCAUCGGAACGUGCCCAGUCGUGGGGGAUAACUACUCGAAAGAGUAGCUAAUACCGCAUACGAUCUAUGGAUGAAAGCGGGGGACCGUAAGGCCUCGCGCGAUUGGAGCGGCCGAUGUCAGAUUAGGUAGUUGGUGGGGUAAAGGCUCACCAAGCCAACGAUCUGUAGCUGGUCUGAGAGGACGACCAGCCACGCUGGGACUGAGACACGGCCCAGACUCCUACGGGAGGCAGCAGUGGGGAAUUUUGGACAAUGGGCGCAAGCCUGAUCCAGCAAUGCCGCGUGCAGGAAGAAGGCCUUCGGGUUGUAAACUGCUUUUGUACGGAACGAAACGGCUCUGGUUAAUACCCGGGGCUAAUGACGGUACCGUAAGAAUAAGCACCGGCUAACUACGUG